rnacentral:rRNA from 1 species
UCAGUGUCAGUAAUGAUCCAGAAAGCUGCUUUCGCAAUUGGUAUUCUUUCUAAUAUCUACGAAUUUCACCUCUACACUAGAAAUUCUGCUUUCCUCUAUCAUACUCUAGCUGAAAAGUUUUGAUGGCAGUUCCAGAGUUAAGCUCUGGGAUUUCACCACCAACUUUUUCAACCACCUACGAACUCUUUAAGCCCAGUAAAUCCGAACUACGCUAGGUCCCUUCGUAUUACCGCGGCUGCUGGCACGAAGUUAGCCGGACCUUCUUAUUCGGGUACAGUCAUUUUCUUCCCCGACGAAAGAGCUUUACAACCCAAAGGCCUUCUUCACUCACGCGGCAUCGCUGCAUCAGAGUUUCCUCCAUUGUGCAAGAUUCCCCACUGCUGCCUCCCGUAGGAGUUUGGGCCGUGUCUCAGUCCCAAUGUGGCUGAUCAUCCUCUCAAAUCAGCUAUAGAUCACAGUCUUGGUAGGCCAUUACCCCACCAACAAACUAAUCUAGUGCAGGCUCAUCCAAUGGUGCAUAAAGCUUUCUCUGUAAAGACUUAUCCGGUAUUAGCACAAGUUUCCUCGUGUUAUUCCAGGCCAAAGGGUAGAUACCUACAUGUUACUCACCCGUCUGCCACUAAGUAUUGCUACUUCGUUCGACUUGCAUGUGUUAGGCGUGCCGCCAGCGUACGUUCUGAGCCAGGAUCAAACUCU